AACGAACGCUGGCGGCAUGCCUAACACAUGCAAGUCGAACGAGACCUUCGGGUCUAGUGGCGCACGGGUGCGUAACGCGUGGGAACCUGCCCUUAGGUUCGGAAUAACUCCCCGAAAGGGGUGCUAAUACCGGAUAAUGUCUUCGGACCAAAGAUUUAUCGCCUUUGGAUGGGCCCGCGUUGGAUUAGCUAGUUGGUAGGGUAAAAGCCUACCAAGGCGACGAUCCAUAGCUGGUCUGAGAGGAUGAUCAGCCACACUGGGACUGAGACACGGCCCAGACUCCUACGGGAGGCAGCAGUGGGGAAUAUUGGACAAUGGGCGAAGGCCUGAUCCAGCAAUGCCGCGUGAGUGAUGAAGGCCUUAGGGUUGUAAAGCUCUUUUACCCGGGAUGAUAAUGACAGCACCGGGAGAAUAAGCUCCGGCUAACUCCGUG
rnacentral:rRNA from 1 species